GUAAUUACAUAAUUCUGAAAAGUUAAGCUUCUACAUAUUGGUACUACAUAGCUGCUUGAUGAAGAAGGAAAAUGUCAGCUCUUCUGUCACUCAAAAAACACAACAUAUAGAAGCUAACCAAAUCUUUUUUAGCUCCAUUGAGAUAAAAACAAAACAAAACAAAACAAAAACACUGGUAUAUUAAGCAGUUCAUCACUAGGAGAAAGAAUUUGAGCACUAUUCCUAUUUCUAACUCAAGUGAUGUGCAUGAUUCUGGAAAAAAACACCUCAUUCAUCAGGUACAACAUGUAAAAAUGUAUGUAAAAAUAAAUGUGUUGGUUGACGUAGUCUUUCUUAUUAACUUUAAACAUUUUUCACACCAAAUGAAAGGAUUUUAAGCAACAUCAUAUACAAUUUAGGUUGGAUGAGAAUUUCCUUAUUGUAGCAGCAAUCAAACAUUAGAAUGACAUAUAAAAUAUACUUUGACUGUCUCUCACAGCAGAUUAGCAGUUAAUUACAUAAGCAGUUAAUUACAUAAUCUAAAUCGG
rnacentral:lncRNA from 10 species